GGCUACAUUUAUUCGCCUCAAAACUGUAUGAGAAUCGCUGUUUGUUUGGCCACAAACAACAGAACAAGAAAACCAGACAUUUUUAUGCCGAUUAUACACACAUGCACGCGCGUUGAGACCGUGGUAAACUCAGAUGUUCCGUGAAAGCCCCCAGACAGAAUUUUCCGAUAAACAGCCACACGCUCGCAAGCAUACGGCCGCGCUAUGGGGGAAAUAAUGACAUCAUGGUCACGGCAGGUCUGCUGGCAGAGCGUAGGCGACUGUGGGCCGGGGAGAGGAAACGCCACUAUGUGUGUGUGUUUCCUGAAAAGGCUGGGAAACACUAGUGUCGGCUGGGGGAAAAACCUUUGAGGUUGUUCAUCAAGCUGUUCAUGGAAUCCGCGUGUUACACCAGCGGAGACUUCCAGCGGAGAGAAAGGAAAGGAAGGAUUGAUGAGGUCCGAAAGACGAUAGUAGUGGGAUUUAAGGAAUAUUUGAGCUAAGAAUGAGUCCUGGUGUCCUGUGGUGUGCCUCUGAACUAGCAUAAAGACAUGCUAGUGCUAGCACUUGCAACAGAGCCGGUGCAUGGUGGUGAAAUGUGAACCUCUUUCAGAAACGAACUACAUUUCCACUAACUUGAAAGCUGAACAAUGACGUAACAGACUGUAACCUGCACUCAAAUGUUGCUUUUUGAGUGGUUGUUAAAUAUGACUUUGUCUUGGUUUCUCCCUGCAGUCCCCCC